rnacentral:lncRNA from 1 species
GCCUCGCCUCCCUCGAGCCUUGGUGUGUACUAGCGCCCGGGUUCAGGGGAAGCUGCAGACCAGCACAGCCGGUCCUCUUCACCUGUAACCGCCCAAGACACCCUUCCCUGGGCAGGGACCGACGUUCAUUGCCAUAGAUGACCUGGAUUCGCCUGUUCCUUUACUACCGAAUUUAAUAGUAUUUUAGGGAAAGUGGUGAAGUGUGAAAUCUGUUACACGGAGAGAUGAAACUAAGGAUAAUUUAGGGACCGUUCAAAGGAGAACACCCAAGGCUGAUAAACUUCAAGAGAAAGCUCC